rnacentral:rRNA from 1 species
CCUACGGGUGGCAGCAGUGAGGAAUAUUGGUCAAUGGGCGCGAGCCUGAACCAGCCAAGUAGCGUGAAGGAUGACUGCCCUACGGGUUGUAAACUUCUUUUAUAAAGGAAUAAAGUGAGUCUCGUGUGCCUUUUUGUCUGUACUUUAUCAAUAAGGAUCGGCCAACUCAGGGCCAUCCGCCGCGGUAAGACGGAGGAUCCGAGAGUUAUCCGGAUUUAUUGGGUUUAAAGGGAACGUAGCUGGGUUGUUAAGUCAAUUGUGAAAGUUUGGGGCUCAACCGUAAAAUUGCAAUUGAUACUGGCAGCCUUGAGUGCAGUUGAGGUAGGCGGAAUUCGAGGUGUAGCGGUGAAAUGCGUAGAUAUCAGGAAGAACUCCGAUUGCGAAGGCAGCCUACUAAACUGCCACUGACAUUGAGGCUCGAAAGUGUGGGUAUCAAACAGGAUUAGAUACCCCAGUAGUC